rnacentral:rRNA from 1 species
AGAGCGAACGCUGGCGGCAGGCCUAACACAUGCAAGUCGAGCGCCCGUAGCAAUACGGGAGCGGCAGACGGGAUAGUAACACGUGGGAACGCGCCCUUCGGUUCGGAAUAACUCAGGGAAACUUGAGCUAAUACCGGAUACGCCCUUACGGGGAAAGAUUUAUUGCCGAAGGAACGGCCCGCGUCCGAUUAGCUAGUUGGUGAGGUAAUGGCUCACCAAGGCGACGAUCGGUAGCUGGUCUGAGAGGAUGACCAGCAUCACUGGGACUGAGACACGGCCCAGACUCCUACGGGAGGCAGCAGUGGGGAAUAUUGGACAAUGGGCGCAAGCCUGAUCCAGCCAUGCCGCGUGGAUGAUGAAGGCCUUAGGGUUGUAAAGUCCUUUAACGGGGAAGAUAAUGACGGUACCCGUAGAAUAAGCCCGGCUAACUUCGCGCCAGCAGCCGC